CUGGCAUGCUGCGGUUCAUGGGGUCGUGAAGAGUCGGACACGACUGAGCGGCUGAACUGAACUGAAGACAGAAAAGAGGUUGGCAUGAGAGGCUGACAUGUUUGGGGAGCAGCCUGGAGACCCUUGAUGGGAACCUACAAAGGUAGGGAAGAGGCAAGGAAGAUGAGGCUGCAUCUCGAGGUGUUUGCAUAACACCCUCCACCCCAUCAAAGCAUCUGCCACACUGCAUUGUUACUCCCUCUGAAGUUGCCUUCUCCUCUCACAUGUGCGCUCUUUGAGGCCAGAGAUGGUGUUUGCUCUGCUGCAAGCUUUUACACUGUGACUCCUGCAUGACAAGCCGAUCCGAUUGCAGAAGAGGGACCCUGUGGUCUGCUGGUUAGGGAAAAGUCCUGGAAGCCUGAGCGAGCCCACGGUUUACAGCAUAGCUGAGCAACUGACUCACUCUGAAACCCAGGGUUGCAUCGUUUAACCUCACGGGGCUUGUUGUCCAUCCAGCUGGAAAAUGUGGAAAGAUGUGAGGCUGAACUGAAAAUCAUUUGUGGCCCUGCUGAUUUGCUGGACCACAGGGUACAGUUUGAGACUGCUGGGCUGACUGAGUUCCAGCCCCGUGGGCCAUGACUGGGAAAGGCACACCUUGCAAGAAGCAACGAGAGUUCAUGCUGGUGAGAGUCUCCUCUACAGGAGAGAGAAGCCUCUCUGCAGAAUCAGCGGCUGAGGAUUUCUAGUCUCUGUCCCUGGCUGGUCUCCGUCAAUAAUCAGACUUCCCUAAAUGGACCUUCAGCGGGUCUUAGUAGUAUCUAGAUCCCCAGCUUGCCAGCACAUGCUGACUGUGCUCGGCAGGGUAACUACCCUGCAGUGCCCCUUGCACCUUGUUCUAACGAUCUGCAGAGUCUGCGGGGACUGAGGGUCAGAUCAGAUUUGCUGAACCAGAGAAGGAUUUGAGGGAACAGAGGAGCAAGCCCUGGUUUCCAAACAGAAGUUAACAUAAAACACAUAUCUUUUAAUGGAAAGAAAAUGGAUUGAAAUUUGGUGAAUUAAGUUAAAAGGGAAAACAAUUCGAGGAAGGGACUGUUUAUCUCAUAGGAAAUUGACAUUUGGUAUUGCCUUCAGGUUUCUGAAAGGCAAUAAAGUAUCCCAGGAAUGAUGGCUUCCGAUCUGGGAACUUACAAAAUGUUGUAGUGCGAGACUGGCCUUUGAAGGUAACACAUCUGAUAAAACCUACUAAAGUCUUGAUGGGCAAUAGGUAGUUUACUGGAAGCCACAAGGGAAUUUCCAAAAUGCCUGGGAACCUGAUAAAUUAUGCUUGAAUUGACUCUUUUAUUCCCAAGGCUAAUAAUAUUUUGUUUGUGUUUAAAACACCUUUUAGCUCAGCUAGCAGGUCAAAGUAGAAUUAUUUUGGGUAAAAUAAACCAUUAGGAUAGAAGCAGAAAUAACAAGACAAACAUGGCUGUUUACUCACUGUUCACAAAUCCACAUACAGCAGUUAAUAGAGCUGAAUAUAUAUAUAUCCCUGCAUCCCAUCUUGGAUGAAAACUAUCACCUCAGUAAGAGUGGCUGAAAAAAACACUCAGAACCCACAUGAAGUCUGUCCUCUGCCUUGUGAUUCUGGACAUGACUUCAGGGCCUGGCUCAACAUUUGAAGCCUUCGAUGUCCUGUAUAGGAUGAGUCGUGUCCGACUUUUUGCAACCCCAAGGACUGUAUCCUGCCAGUCUCCUCUGUCCACGGAAUUCUCCAGGCAAGAAUACUGGAAUGACAGGAAGACUGAAGUACACUGACCUGCGGCAACUGAAGACCAGCCGAGAGAGGAACUCCCCUAAGUACCUGGUGGGUCUAAAUCAGAUCAGCAGGGGGGCUGUGGUGAAAUUUCUCUCGGUGACCUGGGAGAACCCAGGGAGGAAACGAUGAGAAUGCGGCUCACUAGACCCCAAAUUUCAAACAGUGCUUCGACACGGAUGCCCAAACAACACACCAGUCACCUCAGUGUGGAACUGGAGCCACCUUCCAGAAUGGGCCACGAAAGGAGAUAUGAGUGCGCGGCAGAAGGCCACGCAGAGAGCCACGCUGGGCUAGACCUACGUCAGCCUGUUUUCUGACAGGUUUGCUAGACCAAGAACCAGCAGGGAGUGCUGCAGACACAGCGGAUCUAGAUGUCACGCGGCGGUUGACAUGGUUCCUUACGAAAUUCUUGUGAAGAAGUAGAGACUGUGUUCUAGGGGCAAAGACAUUCACGUGGCUUCCUAAUUGGCUAGACAACCAGAGGCAAAGGAUGCAGGGGAAUGGUCCACAGCACCCUGGAGGGCGACCCGGAGGGCGGUGUCCAGAGAAAUGUCCCAUCCUACCACACAAGGGCACGGUUGGCAGGAAACUUUAGCCUUAUCUGACAUCCCAUUUUCAAGGCAGAAUGUGCUUUAAUGUUACAUGUGUAAAUGAAAAUUAACUUUAAAAAAUGUUAAUAUAAUAAACAAAUAACAAAUACAAUAUAAUAAAAAUGCAAUAAUAAAAUAUGAAAUACAAUUUAUAACAUUUACUUAUUAAACUAAUCUAUAUUAAUAAGAAAAGUUUAAUAAUAAUAUAUCUUUUUGAUGUUUCCCCAUCUUUUUCAAGAGAAAUCCUAAUCAUCUAUGUUACUUGUGCUAGAAAAAUGGUUGCAAUUAUUCACCCCUUCGUAUAUUUGCAUUCUUUGCAACAAGACCUUGCUGCAUCUCCCAUCAAGAGGUGUCUCUGUCCCUUGAAUGAAGUGGUCUUGUGACUUGCUCUGGCUAAUAACAUGGGGUAGAAGUGAUGCCAUGCCCAUUCCAAACCUAGGUUUUAAGUGGCUGUGGGUGUUUCCACUUUCUGCCACCGCUGUGUGCACAAGCUCCGGCUAGCCUGUUGUAUGAUGAGAAGCGCAUCAUCUGGACACCCAGCUGACAGCCUGCAAACUGCCAGCAUGCAAGUGAGGCCAUCCAAGACCAAGACUGCCACCCGACUGACUCAUGAGCAAGCCCAGUCGAGAUCAGACAGGCCUGGGCCACUUCAGCAGAACUUUCCAGCUGAUCUGUUGACUCGUGAGCAGUCAUUAAAGUUUACUAUCUUAAGUCAUUGGGUGUUAAGGUGGUUUGUCAUGAAGCAAUAGCCAACUGUUACAGUCCAUGCCUGUUCUACUUGAUUUGUCUUGCUACUCUGGUGCUCAUAAUUCUUUGCUUCAGCCAUGCUCUGAAUGAAACGCUAUGUUGACUUGUCCACAGCUCUGCAAAGGCAAAACCUCUGCCUGGUCCACCACCUCCUCCCUCAGGCGUCCUUCUUCAUCCAGGGGACUCCUCCUCCUUGGAGACUCCUGUCAGGCCCCGCCUUUGCCAGGCGGCUCCCAGAGCCCCCUCCUCACAUGCCUUCCAGCCUCCUGCAGCAUGCUGCUAACGGCCCUUAUCUAUACCUGUAUCACAGCACUCCUCCUGGGUUAAAAUCACGCAUUUACUCAGCCUACCAUUCUUGCUGCAGUGUGAAUUCUGUGAGGAAAGUCUUAUCCUUUACCUAUUAUUCCAACAAGCAGUGCAGUUCUUCACCAGUAGUUGCUAGUGUUCACUGCUCCAUUGCGUCCCGUUUUUUGCGACCCCAAGGACUAUAGCCCACCAGGCUCCUCUGUCCAUGGGAUUUCCCAAGCAAGAAUACUGGAGUGGG